rnacentral:pre_miRNA from 1 species
CCAGGAUUGCCAGAUCCUGGGCUGUGUCCCCUGGCGCCCUGGGCUCCAGGGCCUGCACUGCUGGAAUCACGCUCCUGGGGCUGCACAGCCUGG